rnacentral:rRNA from 1 species
AUUGAACGCUGGCGGCAUGCCUUACACAUGCAAGUCGAACGGCAGCACGGGUGCUUGCACCUGGUGGCGAGUGGCGAACGGGUGAGUAAUAUAUCGGAACGUACCUUAUUGUGGGGGAUAACGCAGCGAAAGCUGUGCUAAUACCGCAUAAUCCCUAAGGGGGAAAGCGGGGGACCGUAAGGCCUCGCGCAAUUAGAGCGGCCGAUACCUGAUUAGCUAGUUGGUGAGGUAAAGGCUCACCAAGGCAACGAUCAGUAGCUGGUCUGAGAGGACGAUCAGCACCCUGUGGACUGAGACACGGCCCAGACUCCUACGGAGGGCAGCAGUGGGGAAUUUUGGACAAUGGGGGCAACCCUGAUCCAGCAAUGCCGCGUGAGUGAAGAAGGCCUUCGGGUUGUAAAGCUCUUUUGUCAGGGAAGAAACAGCAGCUCUAACACAGUUUGCGAAUGACGGUACCUGAAGAAUAAGCACCGGCUAACUACGUGCCAGCCGCCGCGGUAAAAC